GGUCAUGAUAUUCCCUGUUUAAUAACACUAUAGACAGGUCAUGAUAUUCCCUGUUUAAUAACACUAUAGACAGGUCAUGAUAUUCCCUGUUUAAUAACACUAUAGACAGGUCAUGAUAUUCCCUGUUUAAUAACACUAUAGACAGGUCAUGAUAUUCCCUGUUUAAUAACACUAUAGACAGGUCAUGAUAUUCCCUGUUUAAUAACACUAUAGACAGGUCAUGA